GGGCUCCGUGUUCCGGGGGAGUCUGCUGGAGGUUCUCUCUCCCUCUGCCCCUCCCCCUCUAAAAAAAUAAAAAUAAUAAUAAUAAAUGUUUCUUUCUUUUUUUUAAAGGCAAGGCCUCGAGGCUGCAUUUCCUGUGUGGACUCAGGGCAGGAGGGCCUGCGCGUGAGUGCGGUGGGGUCCGCGCUGGCAGUGCCGAAGCCCGUCACCGGCUCUCCAGGGGCCUUGUGCUCUCCCCUGCAUAUGCGCAGCUCUGGGUGCUAGUCUGCGCGUCUCAGCCCGCGGUCUGGGCCAGUGCGGGACAUGGAAAGGGAAACACAACGGUGACAGAAACUGCGCCAGCACACAGCCAGGUGGCAAGCUUGGGAAUGAGAUGGGCCUCUGCCUGUUGGGGUGUGUGACGCGCUCCAGAAGGAGAUGCUUUAGGAACGUCCUGGUGAUGGUCACAGAGAAACCACGGUGACCCCACAUGACCUGCUGUUUCCUGAGCAUGGAGGCCUAGGCUCUGAGUCAUGCUGGUGUCACGGUGCCCCCGGAAGUGGCCUUGAUGUGAGGGAGAUGAGGCCAAGCCCAGCCCCUUCCCCAAGGACCCAUGUGGCACAGAUGAGCCCCCCUCCCCCAGAAGUACCCCACAAGGGGGAAGGGAGUGGGGUGGCCCCCCCACCUCCCUGCACUCGGCCAGCUGGGGGCCAGCGGGGGCCACAAAGGAGGGGUUGGCAGGGGCCCCCCUCCAUGCUGGCUGGUCCCCAGCGCAGCACCCUCGUUCUUUACCAGGAAUUCUCUUUGGGGUUUCAGGGUUUCGAGGAGAGGCCUCCAGCCCCCACGGAACCCCCAACCCGCCGCCGCGACCCAAGCCGAAGCAAGGCCCGACCCGCACCGGCAAUACACUUCCACCAGGUGGCGCAGGGACGCCCCCGGGCUGGGCUGGGCUCUGCCCCCCUCCCCCCCGCGCGCCCAGGGAGCCCAGACCAUAAAAGCAGGGGACGCACACGUCGUUUUGCAGGAAACAGGCCAAACUGAUCUCAACGGUACGUCCUGUUUCAUCCAGUGUAGCCAGAAUGUGCCACUGCCGCGCGUCAUGGAUCUGAGGAGCCGCGGGGCGAGCCCCCCUCCAGCCGUCGAGCUCCCCCGUCACGGGGCAGCGGCCGGUCUCCACUCACCGCUGAGUUCUUGCCGGAAAUCGCCGAUCCUGCUCGGACGUCCCGGAACGUAGAAAAGGACAUUCCUUUGCCGAAGUUAUUCCAAACAUCCUUAGACGUUCUCGUAACCGAACCACCAUUAAAAUUUAGAUCUAACUUAGGGGGUGCGUGGGAGGCUCCAUCAUUGAGCAUCUGCCUUCUGCU